CUACAGUCCUUUUUUUCCUGUUUUUUAUUUUGAGACAGAGUCUCACUGACUUGUUCAGGUCCCUUGAGCUUGAGAUCCUGCUGUCCCAGUCUCCCAGAAUGUUGAGAUUAAAGACAAGUGCCAGUAAGGAUUUAUUUCUUUUGCCUUAUUUUUUGCCUUUAAAUUUCACUGCAUGUUAGUGGCAACAAUUUAGUCUCAUGAAGUUAUUAGAAAAUCACCUUUUUUUUUGGUACCAGGGAUUGAACUCAUGGCCUGGUGUUUGCCAUGCAGGCAUUUAUGCCACUGAGCUAAACCUCUGGCUAGAAAUCACUCUUUACUCAUUUGUAUCUGCUCUACUUGAGAACGUGGACCUGAGGAGCAAUUUUUUUGUUGUUUAUUUUUCCUUUUGCCUUUAUUUGGAUUAUUUAGAUACAUUUUUAUUCUAUCUAAGCAACCUUCAUUUUUGCCCCAUAACACUGUUUUUAGAUAAUGUAUUAAAAUUUUAAAUUUUAAAAGUUUACUUUAAAUUAAUAUUAUUUGGCUUCCAAUUAACCAAAUCUUAUAACUAUAUAAAUCUACCAUCCUCUCCUACACUUCCCUACAUGUUACCUUUAUCAUAUGUGAAAGAGUUGCUGGCCCAGAUGGAACACUGUAACCAGAAAAGGCUGCAGCUAAACUCCCCCCCCCGCCCCCUAUGGACUUGAUUGUAACCCUAUAUCCCCAUCCUUAAGAACCUGUGCGCCAAUGAGAUACCUAUGCAUCUCUAAUGGCCUUAGGGUGCUGCCCUAAGCUUAGGCUAUUUAGAUUCCCCCACGCCACGUGUCAGAGAGAGAGUUCACCAGAGAGAGUGUUCGCCAGAGAGAGAGCUCGCCGGAUUCCAGCGGCCAGCGCCGGCCAGCACGCCAGUCUCCACUCCCUGUGUUCCCGGAGAGACCACCGGCCCCGGGUGCAGAGACCUACCACAGACUUUUUCCGCUCUCCUCAUCCCAUCCUCCCCCUUCUCUCAGACCUAACAGAUGAUGCCCUGUGACUCGGCGGCAGUCUGCUUCUGGAUUACUACAGAAGUUGAUUGUGCAGUAGAUCCUGUUCAGAGGAAAAAUGUCACUUUUGAGCAUGUUAAAAGGAAACCAUGAAUUGAUAACACACGGAGCUGAGUGGGAAGAGAGAGAUCCUCCUGUCUGGACCCUUUGCUUGACUGGGCUGCUGUACAUGGGGGAGUUGCUAUCCUGGUGGGCCAGGCAAGUGCUGGGAUUGAAGUGGGCACCCACAAUGGUUUGUUAAGAAAGACAGAAAGAUGGCAGUUCCAACAAAGACACUUAAGAGACUGAUGGCAGGUGAAACAUAGUGGGAACAAACUCCCCUCCUUCAAAACUUCCAGUGCAUAAUUUAGUCAGGAGAAAACAGUGAGAAGGUCAUACUGGAAUCCAUAAAAUGCAUCAAAAUUA